rnacentral:lncRNA from 1 species
UUUCUUGCUAUAAAAUCGGGUGCGUGCUAGAUUUCCACUUUGUUUACGACCUUUUAUGUCAUUUCUACAUUAUUUUUCUGCUUCGGACAGAUAUAAAGUGGGCGCGUUUGAUUCGGGGGUGUGUUAGAAUAGGGCAAAUACUGCCAAAUGAAUCGGCGCGUUUUUGCGUUCUU